UACGAAGGGUGCAGGCGUUAAUCGGAAUUACUGGGCGUAAAGCGUGCGCAGACGGUUGCGUAAGUCAGAUGUGAAAGCCCCGGGCUCAACCUGGGAAUUGCAUUUGAGACUGCGUAGCUAGGGUGCGGAAGAGGGAAGCGGAAUUUCCGGUGUAGCGGUGAAAUGCGUAGAUAUCGGAAGGAACACCAGUGGCGAAAGCGGCUUCCUGGUCCAGCACCGACGUUCAGGCACGAAAGCGUGGGGAGCAAACAGG
rnacentral:rRNA from 1 species